UGAAUAUAAAGGCAAUUGAUAGUAAAUGUAACUAGUUACUUUACCUUGGAUUUGCACCAAAUUUUUGGCUCCUAAGGCCACUGGAUUACCAUUAUCCUUAAAAAGUUAAUUAAAAAGCCAUACUUUUAUGUAUGGGUGGAGGAGUUAGGAGCUCCUCU